AUGCGUGAGUAUAAGCUAGCCGUUCUCAUCUCAGGAGGCAUUAGAAAGUCUGCUUUGACUGUACAAUUUGUUUUAAGGAAUUUUUGUUGAAAAAUAUGAUCCCAUGACAGAAGAUUCUUAUAGAAAGCAAGCUCAAGUAGAUGCAGUGUAUGCUAGAAAUCUGGGAUACUGCAGGAAUGGAAUGAUUUACAGCAAUGAGGGAUUUGUACAUGAAAAAUGGACAAGGCUCUGCAUUAGUUUAUUCCAUCACAGCACAGUUCACAUGUAACAAUUUACAAGACCUGAGAGAAUAGAGUCUUUCAGUUAAAGACACUGAUGAUGUUCCAAUGAUUCUUGUUGGUAAUAAUUGUGACUUGGAAGAUGAAAGAGUUGUAGGGAAGAAACAAGGUCAAAAUCUAGCCAGACAAUGGAACAACUGUGCAUUCUUAGAAUCUUCUGCAAAAUCAAAAAUAAGUUUUAAUGAGAUCUUUUAUGACCUAGUGCAGCAAAUUAACAGAAAAACUCCAGUGCCUGGGAAGGCUCGCAAAAAGUUGUCAUGUCAGCUGCUUUAAUAUACUAAAUGCAUUGUAGCUCUGAGCUAGGUCUGAAGAACUGUUGCCCAAUUCAACAGUGCCAGCAUUCCAGCUUUGCUAAACCCACCAACAUCUUAAAUAGACUUUCCUGUGGUGGUACUCUUUAACAGGAGGAUGAAAGCUACUAUCAGUUUGCACAUUCUAAUCACUUUCCAGUAUCACAAGAGAGAUUUUUACUUAUAUAAUAGUCCUAGAGUAUGCAGCUGGUUGAACCAGAGGCUACAUCUAGCAUUACUGCUAAGAGACAUUCUUCAUCCACCAAUGUUCUGCAUGUAUGAAAAUGGUGUAUUGUAUACUUUAACAUGUCCCAAACUUUGCAUUGGAGAGUACAAUAAUGUAAAUCUUAAAAGCACCACAAUUUUAGCAUAAUAAAAGAAGGUCCAAAGAGCUCCUAUACAGACUA